rnacentral:rRNA from 1 species
GACGAACGCUGGCGGCGUGCCUAAUACAUGCAAGUUGAGCGCUGAAGGUUGGUACUUGUACCAACUGGAUGAGCAGCGAACGGGUGAGUAACGCGUGGGGAAUCUGCCUUUGAGCGGGGGACAACAUUUGGAAACGAAUGCUAAUACCGCAUAAAAACUUUAAACACAAGUUUUAAGUUUGAAAGAUGCAAUUGCAUCACUCAAAGAUGAUCCCGCGUUGUAUUAGCUAGUUGGUGAGGUAAAGGCUCACCAAGGCGAUGAUACAUAGCCGACCUGAGAGGGUGAUCGGCCACAUUGGGACUGAGACACGGCCCAAACUCCUACGGGAGGCAGCAGUAGGGAAUCUUCGGCAAUGGACGAAAGUCUGACCGAGCAACGCCGCGUGAGCGAAGAAGGUUUUCGGAUCGUAAAACUCUGUUGGUAGAGAAGAACGUUGGUGAGAGUGGAAAGCUCAUCAAGUGACGGUAACUACCCAGAAAGGGACGGCUAACUACGUG